CAUUUUGUAGACUCCCCAAAGAUUGUGUUAUACAGAUUGAGGAUUGCUGGUUUAUCUCAGCUUUGCCUUUGCUUUGAGAGGAGUCUAUGUUGAUUUUUUUUACAAUCUAUGUUCAGAAUGUUUUUUUGGGUUUGGAAAUAAUAAAAACAACUUUCAGCAACGGAUCUCUUGGCUCUUGCAUCGAUGAAGAACGCAGCGAAAUGCGAUAAGUAAUGUGAAUUGCAGAAUUCAGUGAAUCAUCGAAUCUUUGAACGCAUCUUGCGCUCCUUGGUAUUCUGAGGAGCAUGCCUGUUUGAGUGUCAUUUCAAGUUCUCAACUGCUUCAUUUUUUCAAUGUGGCAUUUGGAUAUGGAGGAUUUGCAGGCUUUUCUUUCAAGUCGGCUCCUCUGAAACUUAUUAAGUGGUAUCUGAGCAGAGACUACUAUAGGUGUGAUAAAAACGAUCUACAUCUUGGUAAAAAAUGCUAUAUAGAUCUGCUUUAUUGGAUAGAUUGAUUGAAUU
rnacentral:rRNA from 1 species